UACAGAGGUCCCAAGCGUUGUUCGGAUUUACUGGGCGUAAAGGGUGCGUAGGUGGCGAGGUAAGUUCGAUGUGAAAUCUCCGAGCUCAACUCGGAAAUGGCAUUGAAUACUAUCCCGCUUGAGGACUGGAGAGGAGACUGGAGUUUACGGUGUAGCGGUGAAAUGCGUAGAUAUCGUAAGGAAGACCAGUGGCGAAGGCGGGUCUCUGGACAGUUCCUGACGCUGAGGCACGAAGGCCAGGGGAGCAAACGGG
rnacentral:rRNA from 1 species